AUGAACGCUGGCGGCGUGCCUAAUACAUGCAAGUCGAGCGAACAGACGAGGAGCUUGCUCCUCUGACGUUAGCGGCGGACGGGUGGGUAACACGUGGAUAACCUACCUAUAAGACUGGGAUAACUUCGGGAAACCGGAGCUAAUACCGGAUAAUAUAUUGAACCGCAUGGUUCAAUAGUGAAAGACGGUUUUGCUGUCACUUAUAGAUGGAUCCGCGCCGCAUUAGCUAGUUGGUAAGGUAACGGCUUACCAAGGCGACGAUGCGUAGCCGACCUGAGAGGGUGAUCGGCCACACUGGAACUGAGACACGGUCCAGACUCCUACGGGAGGCAGCAGUAGGGAAUCUUCCGCAAUGGGCGAAAGCCUGACGGAGCAACGCCGCGUGAGUGAUGAAGGUCUUCGGAUCGUAAAACUCUGUUAUUAGGGAAGAACAAAUGUGUAAGUAACUAUGCACGUCUUGACGGUACCUAAUCAGAAAGCCACGGCUAACUACGUG
rnacentral:rRNA from 1 species